GUGCUAGCUCCAGCAGCACAUACACUAAAACGGAAUGAUACAGAAAAUAUUAGCAUGGCUCCUGAGCAAGGGUGACACACAAAUGACGUUUUCCAUAUUUUA